rnacentral:sRNA from 1 species
UUGUGUUGAUAAAGCUUUAUUUAUAAACACAAGCACAGGGCCAGGUUUGGGCCACGGGCCGUAGUUGCCAGCUCAGCUUUAACUGCUGGUCCUCACGUUAGUCUCACUGCCUCCUGCAGGGUGGGCACACGGGUGUCGUGUUCACGCAGCCCCUUCCUCCACCCCGCAGACACGCUGGUGGCUGUCCUGGAGCGCGACACACUGGGCAUCCGUGAGGUGCGGCUGUUCAAUGCCGUUGUCCGCUGGUCCGAGGCCGAGUGUCAGCGGCAGCAGCUGCAGGUGACGCCAGAGAACAGGCGGAAGGUUCUGGGCAAGGCCCUGGGCCUCAUUCGCUUCCCACUCAUGACCAUCGAGGAGUUCGCUGCAGGUAACAGAGCUCAGGGGCCCAGGGGCUGGCUUGGGAGGGGAGUGGCACACAGGUGGGCAUCUGGGUACCGAGGAUAGUGCCCCCGAGUUCACUGCGGAAAGCCUGGCAGAUACCUGGAGCGUAAAAAGAUGGGAAGAAACCUGGCUUGUGAGGGCGCAUCCACAGGGCCAUCUGUUAGCCCCGGCCCUGCUCUGUCCCCACUGUGCGCAUUGCCAGACCCCGCCUCUCGUGUCUGUCCAGCUGUUUCGGUGGCAUCUCCCCAGGAGGGAAGGGAGUCCCCGUCUCGGGCUCUUGUGCUACCUGCUGGUGCAGGUAUCAGUGUCCGUGAUGAGCCCAGGAAGGCUCUGACAUGGCCGGGGUGGCUGUCAUGCGCCCAUGAGUGGGCCUUGGGGUCCCCUGCUGCAGGGCCUGGGCUGUGGGGUGACGUGAGGGGCAGCCGUAACGAUGCCUCCUGCCCUCAUGUGGCUGCUCACUUCCUGACGCCGUCCAACUCUGGAGCAAAACAGGCCUGGAACUUUCCAGAAGGGGCUGGGACAGAGCCCUGUGGCUGGUGCACACUUGUCGUCUGGCCUUCCCCAGGUCCACGCGGCC